GCGCGGCAACCGACGGUCCUACUGUAACCAACCCCUUGUGACAUACACACUUGUUGCCUCGGCGGAUCAGCCCGCUCCCGGUAAAACGGGACGGCCCGCCAGAGGACCCCUAAACUCUGUUUCUAUAUGUAACUUCUGAGUAAAACCAUAAAUAAAUCAAAACUUUCAACAACGGAUCUCUUGGUUCUGGCAUCGAUGAAGAACGCAGCAAAAUGCGAUAAGUAAUGUGAAUUGCAGAAUUCAGUGAAUCAUCGAAUCUUUGAACGCACAUUGCGCCCGCCAGUAUUCUGGCGGGCAUGCCUGUUCGAGCGUCAUUUCAACCCUCAAGCACAGCUUGGUGUUGGGACUCGCGUUAAUUCGCGUUCCCCAAAUUGAUUGGCGGUCACGUCGAGCUUCCAUAGCGUAGUAGUAAAACCCUCGUUACUGGUAAUCGUCGCGGCCACGCCGUUAAACCCCAACUUCUGAAUGUUGACCUCGGAUCAGGUAGGAAUACCCGCUGAACUUAAGCAUAUCAAUAAGCGGAGGAA
rnacentral:rRNA from 1 species